GCCACACCUCCCCUGGCUAUGAUUGACAGAGCCUGCAUGAAAAAAAAAAAACUGGUUUCACUUUCAAACAGAUGUAAUUUACCUUAAAUAAUUGUAUCUCAAUCUCUAAAUUGAACUUUAAUCACAUACAGGAGGCUCUUGCAGGGUCUAGCAAGCUAUUAACAUAGCAGGGGAUAAGAAAAUCUUAAUUAAACAGAACUUGCAAUAAAGAAAGCCUAAAUAGGGCUCUCUUUACAGGAAGUGUUUAUGGAAGGCUGUGCAAGUCACAUGCAGGGAGGUGUGACUAGGGUUCAUAAACAAAGGGACUUAACUCCUAAAUGGCAGAGGAUUGAGCAGUGAGGCUGCAGGGGCAUGUUCUAUACACCAAAACUGCUUCAUUAAGCUAAAGUUGUUCAGGUGACUAUAG